AAAUAGCCCAGUUUUAGUGCUUCCUUCUCACGGGAACGCAUUUUGUUUGAUCAAGACAUCAGGCUUUCCUGCAACGAUCCGUGUUUCAAUGGAGUUGUGACUCUGUAUGCGCUUGUGCAUGAAGGAGAGUGCACUGUGUUAUUUCUAUUCAAACAUUUUCCAUCUUAUUCAUCCGACACCAAUCAAACAUCCAAAUAAACUACCAUGUACAUCUCUAAAU